rnacentral:lncRNA from 1 species
GAUUAUCCUCCAAAGGUUUCUAUUGGCUCUCUUUCUCUCAUCUUCUUAGAAGUGGCAUCUUCCCUGUGUUACUGGAGCAAUGAGAGGCGCAGCCCAGUAUUAGGCUUUCCCUCCUUGGAAAACAUAUGUCUAGAACCUGCUGUUCACUUGCAGCUGUAACUGGUAAGAUUUUACUAUUGAAAGUAUAUAUAUAUAUCUCCUCACCCCCAGUACUGAGGUUAGAACCCAGGGUCCUCUACUACUAAGCUACAUUCCCAGCCCUUUUUAAAAUUUUUUAUUAUUUUUUAAAAAGUAUUUAUUUAUUUAGUACUGGGAAUUAAACCCAGGGACACUUAACCACUGAACCACACCUGUAGCCCUUUUUAUAUUUUAUUUAGAGAUAGGGUCUUCCUAACUUGCUCAAGGCCUUGCUAAAUUGCUGAGGCUGGCUUUGAACUCACAAUCCUCCUGCCUUAGCCUCCUUAAAUCUCUGGGAUUACAGGCUUAUGCCACCAAGCCUGGCCCCCUUUUAUUUAUUUAUAUUUUUUAUUUUGAGACUGGGUCUCACUAAAUUGCUCAGGCCCCAGGCUGGCCUCAAACUGGUAGCUUCCUGUCUCUGCCUUUCAAGAUGCUACGAAGGCAGGCAUAUACCACCACACUUGGUUUAUUAAAUACGCUUUUAAAAAUAAUCAAUACCCACAUUUCCUUGAAUGUGAUUAGUGAAGCCAUAGCCCUUCAAGAAAGUACUUGGAGAAAAAAAGUGUUCUGUCCUUGUUUUUAAUUCCCAGCUUACUUUAUCAUAUUAAAGACUCUCUUGAAGCCCUGCAGUAGUGGUUUCCAAUGAAUGGUACUACUCCUGGGGGAUGGUUUGUAAAUUGGUAGGAGUGUUUUUGUUAUCUCGUUGAUUGGCCCUGGAACUGUGGGUGGACACUACAGUCCCAUGAAAUUAAGAGUUAUCCUUCACCCUCUGGGACUUCUGUUUGUCCUGAUAGUCUUAUGGCUGUAUAUAAUUAAGAUUAUUACCUAACUUUGUUUACAUAUAAACAGAGAGUAGUUGAGAUUUUGUAAGAGACACUGAAUGUUUAUGAAUGUAAUAAUUAUAUAAACCAAGAGAAGACUGUAUUUUGUUUUGCUUUGAACUUUACCAAGAAUUAUUCACUAUUUUCAAAGGGUAUAGCACCAGCAAUUUCACCAGUUGUACUUGAGUUGCUGACAGAGCAUAACCAGGUAGUCUGUGUUUGUAGAUGUCAAGUUGGAGAUGAUUCUUCUUUUUUUAUUUUUUAUUUCUUACAUACAUGAAAAUAGUAGAAUGCAUUACAAUCAUAAUUAUCCAUUCACGGCACAAUUUUUCAUAACUCUGUAUAUAAAGUAUGUUCAUGCCAAAUUAUGCCAUUAUACAUGAGCUCUCUUAUUUUUUUUUUUUGCAUUACAAUUCUUAAUACACCUUUAUACCACAAUGUAUCAUAUUUCUGUUUGUACAUACGGUAUGUUGACACCAAAUUCACAUCUUCAUACAAGUAUUUUGUAUAAUGAUGAUGGUCUCCUUCCAUCAUCCAUGCUAUUCCCCUUCUCCCUCCUUUUCCCUCCCACCCCUAUUUCCAUUACCACCUGGAGAUGAUCCUUCAUAUAGAAAGAAACACCUGACCACUUUUCUAUUUUGGUUUUGUUAUACUCAUGCAUCUACAUAUUGUUGUGGGAUUUUUGGAGAUUAUGUUUAUGAAGGACAUUCUUAUGAAUUUUGUUUCAGGAUGAUAAAGGAGGUGUUAGAAAGAUACAUGUUUACUGAAAGGAUACUUUGGGUCUGUUAGGUCUGU